GGUGUGACCUCGUGUUUUAAAAUUGUUCCGGUGGAAUAGUAUUUAUCACAGAUAAACAAGAACACAAGCCAAUAGCAACCAGAGAGAAGUAAUUAUGAAGACCUCUCAGUGCCAAUCCAGAGUAUCUCAGAGCGGCAGCGCGAGCUACAUGAGCAGCCUCAGCACCAGCGCAAUGAACCCGCUCAGCAGCGCGAGCCUCAUCCUCCUUGUUCUCCUCAUCUCAGCGAUCCCCAUCUGCAAAAGUUCUCCAAUACAACAGCAGAGAGCAACACUAGACCAGUACCAGCUUCUCAACCAGGUAGGUCACAGAACUACAGUGUCUCUCAGAAUAAUGAAAUGUUCAUAUGAAAGCACGGAAGAGACUGAGCUGUUCCUCUCCUUUGCUAUGCAGAGACAUGUUUACUAUUCACUCCCUCUCUCAUAACAACACUCGUCUUGUCUCCCAUAGCUAGAAGAUGUGUGCUCAUCCUACCUUUCUGCAGACCUGCCAUUUCGGGUGAGUAAGACUAGAAUAAUGAAAUGUUCAUAUGAAAGCACAGAAGAGAAUGGAUGAAUGUUCAAUGUUUUCUUUCUCUGAACCUCUCUCAUAUUUUCAAGUUCAGGAUCAAUUCCAAUUAUGAUGAAAUUUCAAAUAGUCAAUAACAGGCUUGAAAUGAAAAUGCUGUACAACCGUAUCAGACUAUUGCGCUCACCUCUUUCCCCCUGCUCUCUGGUUGCUACCCUAGAUACCCAAUGUUUUAGGAGAACUCUGUGUGUUGAUGCUUGUACAGAAGUCUAAGGUAUUCCACCAUUCAUGUUCCAGCAUAGUAGCUCAAACAAAAAUUCUAUCACAAAUAUAAAUA
rnacentral:lncRNA from 13 species